AUUUAAUAAGAAUAUAAAUACAUUAAAUUAAAACACAACACCAAUGACAUACAGGCUUGUGCAGCGAUGCAGAAUCCUGUCCGUGCACCUUGGAGGCUUUUAGAUGGAGACUGUCAUAGUUACAUCUGGCAGGUCCACUAGUUUCACCUGGCAGGUCCACUAGAGAACACCUGGCAGGUCCAUUAGUUACACCUGGCAGGUCCACUAGUAACACCUGGCAGGUCCACUAGUAACACCUGGCAGGUCCACUAGAGAACACCUGGCAGGUCCACUAGUC
ensembl:lncRNA